CCUGAUGCAGCGACGCCGCGUGAGGGAUGAAGGCCUUCGGGUUGUAAACCUCUUUCAGCAGGGACGAAGCGAAAGUGACGGUACCUGCAGAAGAAGCACCGGCUAACUACGUGCCAGCAGCCGCGGUAAUACGUAGGGUGCGAGCGUUGUCCGGAAUUACUGGGCGUAAAGAGUUCGUAGGCGGUUUGUCGCGUCGUCUGUGAAAACCCAUCGCUCAACGAUGGGCCGGCAGGCGAUACGGGCAGACUUGAGUACUGCAGGGGAGACUGGAAUUCCUGGUGUAGCGGUGAAAUGCGCAGAUAUCAGGAGGAACACCGGUGGCGAAGGCGGGUCUCUGGGCAGUAACUGACGCUGAGGAACGAAAGCGUGGGUAGCAAACAGGAUUAGAUACCCUGGUAGUCCACGCCGUAAACGGUGGGCGCUAGGUGUGGGUUCCUUCCACGGGAUCUGUGCCGUAGCUAACGCAUUAAGCGCCCCGCCUGGGGAGUACGGCCGCAAGGCUAAAACUCAAAGGAAUUGACGGGGGCCCGCACAAGCGGCGGAGCAUGUGGAUUAAUUCGAUGCAACGCGAAGAACCUUACCUGGGUUUGACAUAUACUGGAAAGCUGCAGAGAUGUAGCCCCCCUUGUGGC
rnacentral:rRNA from 1 species